ACUCGGAAAGGCCCCGGGGCGCACCGCGGAGACCCCGCAGACGGUGCCCCCUUCCCGGCCCUAGUUGCAAAAACACUCCUGCCCCGACUCCCCUACUAUUUUAGGCUACCCCCCUUCUUUUUAGGAGCGCCACCCUUACGGAAAUUCCCUCCAGCGGAACCGGACGGAAGUUUCCCCUCCUGCAAACCCCACAGACGAGCAGAUCCGGCCCGGGUUGGUUCACACUCCGCACGGGCGCUCGGCUCAUGGAGGGUCCGAACCCGGGUGAAAGAUUCUCCCAGGAACCGAGAGACAAGCAGCCUCGGCGAUUCACACCCGCUGCCUAUCCCCCCCCACCCCACCAACCCCGCUCCUUCCCACCCCGAUGGAUCCCGCGAUCACCCGCCUUUGAUCCACAAAGGCUCCGGGCGCGCGCAACGAUCGUUGCCAAAGCCCACGAACCUUGCCUCGCAAAGUUCGGCCCGGGAGAUCGAGGAACGAACAAGCGAUUCCUCCGCCGUCGGAAUUUGUGUUAAAAUCACAGAACUCAAAUAACUCUCUUUGCUUGGGACUCUAUUUAAAAGGAAAGUCCGGGCGAGGAUUUUCUCCCGUCCGGCUCCACAAAUUCAGAGAGAGAGAGAACAAACGGACUUCUAGUCCAAGCCAGGGCGAGAGAUGAGGGUGGGGCUCCCCAAGGGAUCGCGGACCGACGCGAGGGAAGCGGGGCGCAACUCUGGAGGGACGCAGCGACGGCGUGGAAUUUGCCAAUGGAACACCACACGGCAAUUGUUGGCUGAGCGGUUGGGCAGGAUGGAGAUGAAAUGGCUUCCAGGAGAGCUUUCCUGACUCUUGUCUCUUCAGCAGCUGGAACAGGGAUGAGAUGAUAGCUGGUGAUGUAAGAGGAUUCCAGAGCAAUGAGAAAAUGAAUGGUGGAGCUGGCCCAAGACAUUUUGAUGCCUGAAGUGAAGCACCAAAUGAUACCCUCCCUAUGCUAGGGGGGUGGUGGACAAAAUGUAAACAGUCUUGUUGCACUAGUUCAGAUGUAGCUUCUUGACUUUAUGUAUUCCCCUAAAUUCUGGCUCCUGAAACAGAAUGCUUCACCAUAGCAGAACUGACACAGUGGGAUAUGAAGAAGUUUCAUCAAAUGUGAUCAAAGGCUCAUCUGACAACCCCCUUUCAACAAUAAAAUAUGGACACAAUCGAAAGCGUUUGAUAUAUGGUUUUAAAUCUAAGGCUAUUACAUAUUUCUUCAGUCAUGAGUUGCGCUAGCCACUGCCAGAGGUUGGAUACUGGGUUUCGGGGCAGCUUUAUGACAUUUGGCAUAUCAGACAAGAAAUGUAUUUGGGAGUUUCUGGGCUGUCAGAGUUCCUAAGAUAUUGCACCCUAUUUUGUGUACGUGUGUGUGUUUCCUAUUGCCAAAAAUUCCUCUAGCCAACUUGCUCUUCCAAUGUGGUUUCUUUUAGCUGUCUACUUUAUUCCAAAGUCCCUUCACUACCAGAGAGUUUAUUUUGCUGAAAGCAUCCAAAUGUAUAAGAAUAAUUAAAGCACCUUUGUUUUGAUGGCUCUCAGGGACAUUUUUCUUAAUGAAUAAAAGUGUCCAAAGCUGGCAAUCAAGAGGAAAGGUAGUGAAACAAUGACCAGGGACUGUUGCUGGUUUAUUGGCAAGAAAGCUGCUAGCUCAAGGUAGUUUCAGCAGCAACAAACUGUCAUCAGGAGAUCAAAGAUGAUGGUGAUGAGGAUGAAUGCUGUUCAACCGACUAUUAUGGGGAAUUAUUAUUUCUGAUGAUUCCUUCCUUUUAAACACUCUGCUUCUGCUAUCCUGAGCACAGCACUAACUAUAUGGGCAAUUCAUCCAAUAACCUCAUUGGUAGAGCAUCUGACGCAGGGAAAAAUACGUAUAAGCCGGCUCACCCUUUUCGUGAGGCGGCA